UUGUGCUAGGCGGGGAGUUAGCGGUUCCCUCGUCCCGAAAUCCGCUUAUGCGGGGCUGAACUCCCUCUUUAGGGUAUUUUUUGAGUUCUCAGGUUUUGUCUGAUCGGACGCUACGCAACAGACACUCACGAACCUCGUCAGAUCCGGAAGGAAGCAGCGAUAAGUGAUGGGCUCUGUGUCGUGGAUCGAUCUCGAUCAAUACAUACCAAAGGGCUUCGAGAUAACACAACAGAGGGUGCACAA
rnacentral:SRP_RNA from 2 species